AAUGAACGCUGGCGGCAGGCCUAACACAUGCAAGUCGAACGAGGUAGCAAUACCUAGUGGCGGACGGGUGAGUAACACGUGGGAACGUACCCUUUGCUACGGAAUAGCCCUGGGAAACUGGGAGUAAUACCGUAUGAGCCCGAGAGGGGAAAGAUUUAUCGGCAAAGGAUCGGCCCGCGUUGGAUUAGGUAGUUGGUGGGGUAAUGGCCUACCAAGCCGACGAUCCAUAGCUGGUUUGAGAGGAUGAUCAGCCACACUGGGACUGAGACACGGCCCAGACUCCUACGGGAGGCAGCAGUGGGGAAUCUUAGACAAUGGGGGAAACCCGUGAUCUAGCCAUGCCGCGUGAUCGAUGAAGGCCUUAGGGUUGUAAAGAUCUUUCAGGUGGGAAGAUAAUGACUGUACCACCAGAAGAAGCCCCGGCUAACUCCGUGCCAGCAGCCGCGGUAA
rnacentral:rRNA from 1 species